ACAUGCCUACAACAUAACAUUAAUGCACCAGAUCCCAUUAGAACUCAACAGUUAAGCACACUCAGGCUAGAGUAGUAUUGGGAUGGGUGACUACCCGUGAAGUCCUAGUAUUUUACAUGCC
rfam:Picea glauca, whole genome shotgun sequence.